rnacentral:rRNA from 1 species
ACCCGCUGAACUUAAGCAUAUCAAUAAGCGGAGGAAAAGAAACCAACAGGGAUUGCCCUAGUAACGGCGAGUGAAGCGGCAACAGCUCAAAUUUGAAAUCUGGCUUCGGCCCGAGUUGUAAUUUGCAGAGGAAGCUUUAGGCGCGGCACCAACUGAGUCCCCUGGAACGGGGCGCCACAGAGGGUGAGAGCCCCGUAUAGUUGGACGCCUAGCCUGUGUAAAGCUCCUUCGACGAGUCGAGUAGUUUGGGAAUGCUGCUCAAAAUGGGAGGUAAAUUUCUUCUAAAGCUAAAUACCGGCCAGAGACCGAUAGCGCACAAGUAGAGUGAUCGAAAGAUGAAAAGCACUUUGAAAAGAGGGUUAAAUAGCACGUGAAAUUGUUGAAAGGGAAGCGCUUGUGACCAGACUUGCGCCCGGCUGAUCAUCCGGUGUUCUCACCGGUGCACUCUGCCGGGCUCAGGCCAGCAUCGGUUCUCGUGGGGGGAUAAAGGUCCUGGGAACGUGGCUCCUCCGGGAGUGUUAUAGCCCAGGGCGUCAUGCCCUCGCGGGGACCGAGGUUCGCGCAUCCGCAAGGAUGCUGGCGUAAUGGUCAUCAGCGACCCGUCUUGAAACACGG